ACACCAGAAGGUUGAUUGCCAACCGCCAUAAAAACAAAAGAAGAAGAAGAAGAAAAUAAUGUCUGCCGGACUACUAAAAAGUAGCUUCACUGAGGCACAGUCCGCAGCAUUAUCGAGCGCAUCUUCAACCACAUGGACAUCGGGUCAAGAGGAGGAAAAGAGUCACCACGCAUGACCAUUUCAACAAGGACGGAAUACACAAUAAUUGUGAUUGAAUAAAUGAAGGAUUCCCUCUGUCGCCUUGGAAGUGAGCUGUGCUUCUCACUUCUCUGGACCCCCUCUGGAUUCUGACUGCCUCCCUCGAUCUUGGACCUCCAGUUUGGACUCGGACUUCUUGAUGCCCCUCUCAGCCCCACGGACCCAGCCUGUACCACGGAUUCUCAUACCUGCCUCGCCCUACUGGACUGGUCGCCUUCUCACUCAACACGCACUUACAACAACCACUGGUAAAUAUAUUCACUAUAACGUUUCACAUAGUCCUGCAAACAUACACAGUAGCAUACACACGCCACCGCAUCAUCAAGCUCAAAUAAAAGUGUUGAGCUUUA